GGGGCACCCUGUAUCCAGCAAUGCCGCGGUGUGUGAAGAAGGCCUGAGGGUUGUAAAGCACUUUCAGUGGGGAGGAGGUCGUAUAGGUUAAGAGCUAGUAUGAUGGACGUUACCCACAGAAGAAGCACCGGCUAACUCCGUGCCAGCAGCCGCGGUAAUACGA
rnacentral:rRNA from 1 species